CAGCAGCCGCGGGAAUACGAAGGGGGCUAGCGUUGUUCGGAUUUACUGGGUGUAAAGGGCGCGUAGGCGGGCGAAUCAGUCAGGGGUGAAAUCCCAAGGCUCAACCUUGGAACUGCCUUUGAUACUGUUUGUCUUGAGUUCGAGAGAGGUAAGUGGAACUGCGAGUGUAGAGGUGAAAUUCGUAGAUAUUCGCAAGAACACCAGUGGCGAAGGCGGCUUACUGGCCCGAUACUGACGCUGAGGCACGAAAGCGUGGGGAGCAAACAGGAUUAGAUACCCCAGUAGUCCCUGUCUCUUAUAA
rnacentral:rRNA from 1 species